rnacentral:rRNA from 1 species
GCCGUGUAGUUUGAUUAGAAACAAAGCGAACGAUGGGGGCACGCUUAACACAUGCAAGUCGAACGAGAAACCCGAGCUUGCUCGGGUGGACAGUGGCAAACGGAUUAGUAACGCGUGGGUAUCAACCUAAAGGUUUGGAACAACUAUUGGAAAAGAUAACUAAUACCAAAUAUUCCAUAAGGGGGAAAGAUUUAUCGCCUUUAAAUGAGCCCGCGUCGGAUUAGCUUAUUGGUAGGGUAAAGGCCUACCAAGGCAACGAUCGGGUAUCUGGUCUGAAAGGAUGAUCAGCAAGAUUGGGACUGAAACACGGCCCAGACUCCUACGGGAGGCAGCAGUAGGGAAUAUUGCGCAAUGGGGGAAACCCUGACGCAGCGAUCCCGCGUGAGUGAAGAAGGCCUUAGGGUUGUAAAACUCUUUCACCGGUGAAGAUAAUGACGGUAGCCGGAGAAGAAGCCCCGGCUAACUCCGUGCCAGCAGCCGCGGUAAUACGGAGGGGGCUAACGUUGUUCGGAAUUACUGGGCGUAAAGCGUGCGUAGGCGGAUUAGACAGUUGAGGGUGAAAUCCCGGAGCUUAACUCCGGAACUGCCUUCAAUACUACUAAUCUUGAGUUCGGAAGAGGUGAGUGGAAUUCCUAGUGUAGAGGUGAAAUUCGUAUAUAUUAGAAAGAACAUCAGUGGCGAAGGCGACUCACUGGUCCGAUACGGACGGUGAGGUGGGAAAGCGUGGGGAGCAAACGGGAUUAGUUUCCCUUUUAUCCACGCCGUAAACGAGUGAAGUUAGUUGUCGGGCGCCAUGCCGUUCGGUGACACAGCUAACGCAUUAAGCUUCCUGCCCGGGGAGUACGAUCGCAAGAUUAGAACUCAAAGUAAUUGACGGGGGCCCGCACAAUCGGUGGAGCAUGUGGUUUAAUUCGAAGCAACGUGCAGAACCUUACCUGCCCUUGACAUCCCUGUCGCAGAAAGUAGAGAUAUUUUCUUUCAGUUAGGCUGGACCGGUGACAGGUGCUGCAUGGCAGUCGUCAGCUCGUGACGUGAGAUGUUGGGUUAAGUCCCGCAACGAGCGCAACCUUCUCCUUUCGUUGCCAUCAUUAAAUUGGGCAGUUUAGAGGGAAAGCCGGUGAUAAGCCGGAGGAAGUUGGGGAUAACGUCAAGUCUUCAUGGCCCUUAUGGGGUGGGCUACACACGUGCAACAAUGGAUCUUACAGAGGGCAGGUAGCUCGCGAGAGUAAGCUAAUACCAAAAAGGCGCCUCAGUUCAGAUUGCACUUUACAACUGGAGUGCAUGAAGUCGGAAUCGCUAGUAAUCGUGGAUCAGCUUGCCACGGUGAAUACGUUCCCGGGCCUUGUACUCACCCCCUGUCACUCCAUUGUAAUUGACUUUACCCGAAGGUAGUGUGAUAACCGUAAGUUCGCAUCUAACCACGGUUUCCUCUAAACCGUGUGAAGUCGUCCCAAGGUAACCAAGGUUGUUUCUCACAUUCCAUCACACACCGGCCGCUCGAGCACCCUCUAGAGG